rnacentral:tRNA from 1 species
UCCUAGUGGCUCAGAUGGUAAAGAAUCUGCCUGCAAUGCAGGAGACCCAGGUUCGAUCCCUGGGUUGGGAA